rnacentral:ribozyme from 13 species
CACACAUAGAUCGUUUCUUUUGUUUCUUUUUUUUGUACGGUUUUUUUAUCCUCUUUUAAUACCUCCUAUUCAUAACAUGAUAACUAUAU